GAUGUACUCCCUCCGUCCGGAAGUAAUUGUCGCUCAAACGGAUGUAUCUAGACGUAUUUCAGUGCUAGAUACAUCCGUUUGAGCGACAGUUAUGUCCGGACGGAGGGAGUAGUUG
rfam:Triticum aestivum genome assembly, contig: Triticum_aestivum_CS42_TGACv1_scaffold_159759_2DL